rnacentral:rRNA from 1 species
GAUGAACGCUGGCGGCGUGCCUAAUACAUGCAAGUCGAGCGAACAGACGAGGAGCUUGCUCCUCUGACGUUAGCGGCGGACGGGUGAGUAACACGUGGAUAACCUACCUAUAAGACUGGGAUAACUUCGGGAAACCGGAGCUAAUACCGGAUAAUAUAUUGAACCGCAUGGUUCAAUAGUGAAAGACGGUUUUGCUAUCACUUAUAGAUGGAUCCGCGCCGCAUUAGCUAGUUGGUAAGGUAACGGCUUACCAAGGCAACGAUGCGUAGCCGACCUGAGAGGGUGAUCGGCCACACGGGAACUGAGACACGGUCCAGACUCCUACGGGAGGCAGCAGUAGGGAAUCUUCCGCAAUGGGCGAAAGCCUGACGGAGCAACGCCGCGUGAGUGAUGAAGGUCUUCGGAUCGUAAAACUCUGUUAUUAGGGAAGAACAAAUGUGUAAGUAACUAUGCACGUCUUGACGGUACCUAAUCAGAAAGCCACGGCUAACUACGUG